rnacentral:rRNA from 1 species
GGCGAACGCUGGCGGCGUGCUUAACACAUGCAAGUCGAACGGUAAGGCCCUUCGGGGUACACGAGUGGCGAACGGGUGAGUAACACGUGGGUGAUCUGCCCUGCACUUCGGGAUAAGCCUGGGAAACUGGGUCUAAUACCGGAUAGGACCACUGCCUGCAUGGGUGGUGGUGGAAAGGUUUUGCGGUGUGGGAUGGGCCCGCGGCCUAUCAGCUUGUUGGUGGGGUGAUGGCCUACCAAGGCGACGACGGGUAGCCGGCGCUGAGAGGGUGCCCGGCCACACUGGGACUGAGAUACGGCCCAGACUCCUACGGGAGGUAGCAGUGGGGAAUAUUGCACAAUGGGCGCAAGCCUGAUGCAGCGACGCCGCGUGAGGGAUGACGGCCUUCGGGUUGUAAACCUCUUUCAGCACCGACGAAGCGCAAGUGACGGUAGGUGCAGAAGAAGGACCGGCCAACUACGUGCCAGCCGCCGCCGUAA